rnacentral:rRNA from 1 species
UUAAGUUAAUAAGGGCGCACGGUGGAUGCCUUGGCACUAGGAGCCGAAGAAGGACGUGACAAACGACGAUAUGCCUUGGGUAGCUGUAAGUAAGCGAUGAUCCAGGGAUUUCCGAAUGGGGGAACCCAACAGGUACUACCUGUUACCCACAUCUGUUAAGGAUGUGAGGAGGAAGACGCAGUGAACUGAAACAUCUAAGUAGCUGCAGGAAGAGAAAGCAAAAGCGAUUGCCUUAGUAGCGGCGAGCGAAACGGCAGAAGGGCAAACCGAAGAGUUUACUCUUCGGGGUUGUAGGACUGCAAUGUGGACUCAAAGAUUAUAGAAGAAUGAUUUGGGAAGAUCAGCCAAAGAGAGUAAUAGCCUCGUAUUUAAAAUAGUCUUUGUACCUAGCAGUAUCCUGAGUACGGCGGGACACGUGAAAUCCCGUCGGAAUCUGGGAGGACCAUCUCCCAACCCUAAAUACUCCCUAGUGACCGAUAGUGAACCAGUACCGUGAGGGAAAGGUGAAAAGCACCCCGGGAGGGGAGUGAAAUAGAACCUGAAACCGUGUGCCUACAACAAGUUCGAGCCCGUUAAUGGGUGAGAGCGUGCCUUUUGUAGAAUGAACCGGCGAGUUACGUUAUGAUGCGAGGUUAAGUUGAAGAGACGGAGCCGUAGGGAAACCGAGUCUGAAUAGGGCGCCAUAGUAUCAUGACGUAGACCCGAAACCAUGUGACCUACCCAUGAGCAGGUUGAAGGUGCGGUAAGACGCACUGGAGGACCGAACCAGGGCACGUUGAAAAGUGCUUGGAUGACUUGUGGGUAGCGGAGAAAUUCCAAACGAACUUGGAGAUAGCUGGUUCUCUCCGAAAUAGCUUUAGGGCUAGCGUCGACAUUAAGAUUCUUGGAGGUAGAGCACUGUUUGGGUGAGGGGUCCAUCCCGGAUUACCAAUCUCAGAUAAACUCCGAAUGCCAAUGAAUUAUGGUCGGCAGUCAGACUGCGAGUGCUAAGAUCCGUAGUCGAAAGGGAAACAGCCCAGACCACCAGCUAAGGUCCCAAAAUAAUUGUUAAGUGGAAAAGGAUGUGGGGUUGCACAGACAACUAGGAUGUUAGCUUAGAAGCAGCUAUUCAUUCAAAGAGUGCGUAAUAGCUCACUAGUCGAGUGACCCUGCGCCGAAAAUGUACCGGGGCUAAAACAAUUUACCGAAGCUGUGGAUACCUUUAUAGGUAUGGUAGGAGAGCGUUCUAUGUGUGAUGAAGGUAUACCGUGAGGAGUGCUGGAACGCAUAGAAGUGAGAAUGCCGGUAUGAGUAGCGAAAGACAGGUGAGAAUCCUGUCCACCGUAAGACUAAGGUUUCCAGGGGAAGGCUCGUCCGCCCUGGGUUAGUCGGGACCUAAGGAGAGACCGAAAGGUGUAUCCGAUGGACAACAGGUUGAUAUUCCUGUACUAGAGUAUGUAGUGAUGGAGGGACGCAGUAGGCUAACUAAAGCAGACGAUUGGAAGUGUCUGUCUAAGCAGUUAGGUGUGAACUGAGUCAAAUGCUUAGUUCUAUAACAUUGAGCUGUGAUGGGGAGCGAAGUUUAGUAGCGAAGUUAGUGACGUCACACUGCCAAGAAAAGCUUCUAGCGUUUAAACAUACUCUACCCGUACCGCAAACCGACACAGGUAGUCGAGGCGAGUAGCCUCAGGUGAGCGAGAGAACUCUCGUUAAGGAACUCGGCAAAAUGACCCCGUAACUUCGGGAGAAGGGGUGCUGACUUUACGUCAGCCGCAGUGAAUAGGCCCAAGCAACUGUUUAUCAAAAACACAGCUCUCUGCUAAAUCGUAAGAUGAUGUAUAGGGGGUGACGCCUGCCCGGUGCUGGAAGGUUAAGAGGAGUGCUUAGCGUAAGCGAAGGUAUGAAUUGAAGCCCCAGUAAACGGCGGCCGUAACUAUAACGGUCCUAAGGUAGCGAAAUUCCUUGUCGGGUAAGUUCCGACCCGCACGAAAGGCGUAACGAUCUGGGCACUGUCUCAACGAGAGACUCGGUGAAAUUAUAGUACCUGUGAAGAUGCAGGUUACCCGCGACAGGACGGAAAGACCCCAUGGAGCUUUACUGCAGUUUGAUAUUGAGUGUCUGUACCACAUGUACAGGAUAGGUAGGAGUCUAUGAGAUCGGGACGCCAGUUUCGAAGGAGACGUUGUUGGGAUACUACCCUUGUGUUAUGGCCACUCUAACCCAGAUAGGUGAUCCCUAUCGGAGACAGUGUCUGACGGGCAGUUUGACUGGGGCGGUCGCCUCCUAAAAGGUAACGGAGG